GGGUUGCUGAGGAGUCCCAUAAUAGGACGAAACAGCCGUCGAGUGC
rfam:Schistosoma rodhaini strain Burundi genome assembly, scaffold: SROB_scaffold0007400